rnacentral:rRNA from 1 species
AUUGAACGCUGGCGGCAUGCUUAACGCAUGCAAGUCGAACGGCAGCACAGUGCGUAGCAAUACGUGUGGGUGGCGAGUGGCGGACGGGUGAGUAACGCGUAGGAAUCUGCCUUGAAGCGGGGGACAACCCGAGGAAACUCGGGCUAAUACCGCAUAAUAUCGAGAGAUUAAAGCUGGGGCAACCUGGCACUUCAAGAGGAGCCUGCGUCUGAUUAGCUAGUUGGUGGGGUAAAGGCCCACCAAGGCGAUGAUCGGUAGCUGGUCUGAGAGGAUGAUCAGCCACACUGGAACUGAGACACGGUCCAGACUCCUACGGGAGGCAGCAGUGGGGAAUAUUGGACAAUGGGGGCAACCCUGAUCCAGCAAUGCCGCGUGUGUGAAGAAGGCCUUCGGGUUGUAAUGCACUUUUGGCAGGGAGGAAGGUAUGGAGUUUAAGAGACACCAUAUUUGACUGUACCUGCAGAAUAAGCACCGGCUAACUCUGUGCCAGCCGCCGCGGUAA